rnacentral:rRNA from 1 species
GAUGAACGCUGGCGGCGUGCCUAAUACAUGCAAGUCGAGCGAACAGACGAGGAGCUUGCUCCUCUGACGUUAGCGGCGGACGGGUGAGUAACACGUGGAUAACCUACCUAUAAGACUGGGAUAACUUCGGGAAACCGGAGCUAAUACCGGAUAAUAUAUUGAACCGCAUGGUUCAAUAGUGAAAGACGGUUUUGCUGUCACUUAUAGAUGGAUCCGCGCCGCAUUAGCUAGUUGGUAAGGUAACGGCUUACCAAGGCAACGAUGCGUAGCCGACCUGAGAGGGUGAUCGGCCACACUGGAACUGAGACACGGUCCAGACUCCUACGGGAGGCAGCAGUAGGGAAUCUUCCGCAAUGGGCGAAAGCCUGACGGAGCAACGCCGUGUGAGUGAUGAAGGUCUUCGGAUCGUAAAACUCUGUUAUUAGGGAAGAACAAAUGUGCAAGUAACUAUGCACGUCUUGACGGUACCUAAUCAGAAAGCCACGGCUAACUACGUG